CAAAAAUAUGAAAAGAGAGAAGGUUAGCACUAUUAUUGAUAAGGAUGGAGCAGAUCCUAGUGGCCUAUAAAAUACUCAUAGUGUUAACACACUGUCACUUGCUUUAACACACUUUCGCAUGUUAUUU